GCAUCCUUACACUGCAAACCCAAGACUCAUCUACCCAUAAGAGAGGUGAACAGUGCACCGAUCUUAAAUGGAUUAAUCACUAUUCUCCGUAAUAAUCUUUUGAUCAGGAGUACUUAAAAACUAAUCACUAAUUAAUGCAUGUCUCAAAUUCUCAACACCUUAAGAAUAUAUAAAACUUAUCUUUGUUAAUUUUUAGGAUAAAUCAUAGACACAUAAACAUGAUUGAAAAUAAAAAUAUCUUUUAUUAAUAAUAAAAAUAUUAUAAGUACAAAGAUAAACCCUAAAAAUAUAAAAUGUGUCAACCCAUAUCUAACAAACUCUAACCUGACCUAAAGCAAAUUGGCCAUAUACCUAAGAUCCAUCUUCUCAAGGUGACCUUUGAUCUUCUACUGGCUGAGAGGUUUGGUCAGUAGAUCCAUCAUAUUUUGCACGGAGUCGACUCUCUGCAUCUCGAUGAACUUUCUUCUCGAGGUAUUCGCGUAUGAUGUGAAACCGUCGCUUUAUAUGCUUAGACUUCUAGUGAGAUCUGAGCUUCUUAGAUAGGGCUAUGGUGUCGUUGUUAUCGCAGCACAGUGCAAUGGCAUCUAAUGGCAUCACAUCUAGCUUCGCAACAAACUUCUUGAACCAAAAUAUUUCUUAGCAGCUUUAGAGGUGGCGAUGUAUUCGGCC
rnacentral:lncRNA from 1 species